rnacentral:rRNA from 1 species
UACGUAGGGGGCAAGCGUUGUCCGGAUUUAUUGGGCGUAAAGAGCGUGUAGGCGGUUUGGUAGGUCCGCUGUGAAAACUCGAGGCUCAACCUCGAGACGUCGGUUGAAACCGUUUGGCUAGAGUCCGGAAGAGGAGAGUGGAAUUCCCGGUGUAGCGGUGAAAUGCGCAGAUAUCGGGAAGAACACCCGUGGCGAAGGCGGCUCUCUGGGACGGUACUGACGCUGAGACGCGAAAGCGUGGGGAGCGAACAGG